GAUAUGAUUGUCAUGACAUCUUUACACUCGAUCACUCGAUGGUGGCUAUUAUAAAUUCUUCGAGAAAGGUCGUUUCGUUGUAAAUCGGGCAUUUCACUUUUCCGCGUAAUCGUAUAUAUUUACGUGGUUGUUAGGCGGGAUAUAAUUGAUUACCUAUUCUUCUCACUUUCAGUUUUUGGUUCCUCCACAUCAAUAUCAUAUCACAGAUUUUGUAAUCAAGAUGUCUGAAGAUUUUUCAAAGGCUGUAGCAGCAAUCAGUAAAGAUGAGUCGGAAAAGAAAACUGUGGCUGAGAAAUGUGAUAAGCACGAGUCUUCAAGCUUCGAUGUGGGAUGGCAAAAAGGCGGCCUCGGUUUAAGCUACACCUCAGUAUCAUCGUCUUCUUAUAUCAAAAUUACCAAAUACGACUAACAUCCCGUUGUAAUCUGACAAACAAGGAUUAUUUGUCAUCAGACAUCUCACUUCUGCAGAUAUACACUACUCUUUACCAAGUAAUUCACCAGCUUUCAGGACCACAAAGCAGCACCCCUUUAGCAGAAAUCUUGGAUUUGGGGACAUUUUGGAUCGUAUUUUUUUUUAUGGAAUAAUGAAAACAAGACAAUUAAUUAUUUUGUUUGUGUCAAAUAGGUCUGGGAAAUACCCAAUUGGUUUGUGUUAUCUAAAAUUAAAUGUGUUACAAAGAUUAAUAGGAUGUCAUAAGACAUCGUAGAUUUUGGGCCCUCGACUAUACAUUAAUCACAUUUUAAAACACGGACUUUGUGCCAACUGGAAUAAAAUAGCAUUAACACAUAUUUCUUUGUUUCCGAAUAGAAUUAUUUAAAAUAUCCAGAUGCUGAAUAUAAUAAAGUAUCAACGACAAUUCAAAAUAUUGACACUGCUGAUUUCUAUUUCUUUUACAAUGAUCUGUCGCCUACUGCGAAUAAAUAAACACCCUUUGCAUGCAUCA